rnacentral:rRNA from 1 species
AGCGAACGCUGGCGGCAGGCCUAACACAUGCAAGUCGAACGAACCCUCCGGGGUUAGUGGCGGAUGGGUGAGUAGCACGUGGGAACGUGCCUGUAGGUACGGAAUAACUCAGGUACACUUGUGCUAAUACCGAAUGUGCUCUUCGGGGGAAAGAUUUAUCGCCUUUAGAGCGGCACGGGUCUGUUGAGCCAGUUGGUUAAGGUAAUGGCUCACGAAGGCGACGAUCAGUAGCGGGUCAGAGAGGAUGAUCCGACACAUCGGUACUGAGCCACGGCCCAAACUCCUACGCGAUGCGGGAGUGCCGGAUCUUGCGAUACCGGCUAAGUGCUGACGCAGUCCGGGCGAGUGAAUGAUGUUGGUGUUAGAGAUGAGAAAUUCUUUCACCCGCGACGGUACUGACGGUACCCAGAGAAGAAGCCCCGGCUAACUUCGUG